ensembl:rRNA 5S_rRNA 5S ribosomal RNA
GCCUUUAUGGCCACACCACCCUGAGCUCACGGGAUCUUGACUGAUCUUGGAAGCUAAGCAGAGUCGGGCCUGGCUAGUACUUGGGAUGGGAGACCCCCUGAGAAUACUGGGUGCUGAAGGCU